rnacentral:rRNA from 1 species
GACGAACGCUGGCGGCGUGCUUAACACAUGCAAGUCGAACGAGUGGCGAACGGGUGAGUAAUACGUGAGUAACCUGCCCUCUUUUUGGGAUAAGCCUUGGAAACGGGGUCUAAUACAGGAUAACGGGGGCUGGGCUCGCGGCCUAUCAGCUUGUUGGUGGGGUGAUGGCCUACCAAGGCGGUGACGGGUAGCCGGCCGGAGAGGGUGGACGGCGACGUUGAGCCGGAGAUACGGCCCAGGGUCGUACGAGAGGGAGCAGUGGGGGAAAUUGCAGAAGGGGGGAAAGGCUGAUGCAGCGACGCCGCGUGGGGGAUGAGGGUUUUCGGGUUGUAAACCUCUUUCGCUAUGGAACGGGUAGGUGGAGAAAAAGCGCCGGCUAACUACGUGCCAGCAGCCGCGGUAAUUC